UGUUGUUGGACUAAUGUUUAUCUGUUUGUCUAGAUGCUUGUUGUUGGACUCAUGUUUAUCUGUUUGUCUAGAUACUUGUUGUUGGGCUAAUGUUUAUCUGUUUGUCUAGAUGUUUGUUGUUGGGCUAAUGUUUAUCUGUUUGUCUGUUGUUUGCCUAGAUGUUGUUGGGCUAAUGUUUAUCUGUUUGUCUGUUGUUUGCCUAGAUGUUGU
rnacentral:lncRNA from 1 species